rnacentral:tRNA from 1 species
GGCCCCUUCGUCUAAUGGUUUAGGACUCCACCCUUUCACGGUGGCAAUACGGGUUCGAAUCCCGUAGGGGUCGCCA